rnacentral:rRNA from 1 species
CCUACGGGGGACUGCAGUGGGGAAUAUUGGACAAUGGGCGAAAGCCUGAUCCAGCCAUGCCGCGUGUGUGAAGAAGGCCUUCGGGUUGUAAAGCACUUUCAGUGGGGAAGAAAGCCUUGGGGCUAAUACCCUCGAGGAAGGACAUCACCCACAGAAGAAGCACCGGCUAACUCCGUGCCAGCAGCCGCGGUAAUACGGAGGGUGCGAGCGUUAAUCGGAAUUACUGGGCGUAAAGCGCGCGUAGGCGGUCUGAUAAGCCGGUUGUGAAAGCCCCGGGCUCAACCUGGGAACGGCAUCCGGAACUGUCAGGCUAGAGUGCAGGAGAGGAAGGUAGAAUUCCCGGUGUAGCGGUGAAAUGCGUAGAGAUCGGGAGGAAUACCAGUGGCGAAGGCGGCCUUCUGGACUGACACUGACGCUGAGGUGCGAAAGCGUGGGUAGCAAACAGGAUUAGAUACCCCGGUAGUC